GCAUCUUCCUACCCUGAGUGUCCAGGAGGGUGACAACUCUAUUAUCAACUGUGCUUAUUCAAACAGCGCCUCAGACUACUUCAUUUGGUACAAGCAAGAAUCUGGAAAAGGUCCUCAAUUCAUUAUAGACAUUCGUUCAAAUAUGGACAAAAGGCAAGGCCAAAGAGUCACCGUUUUAUUGAAUAAGACAGUGAAACAUCUCUCUCUGCAAAUUGCAGCUACUCAACCUGGAGACUCAGCUGUCUACUUUUGUGCAGAGAAUA
rnacentral:lncRNA from 1 species